AGCUUCACUAGCGUAUAUUAAAGUUGUUGCAGUUAAAAAGCUCGUAGUUGAACUUCUGCUCGGCACGCACUUUGCUUCACCGCGGGUGCGAGCCGAACAUCCGCCUAUAAUCUAUUCUCCUCCUUUACUGGUGGGUUUAGGGAGUAGGCAUUUUACUUUGAAAAAAUUAGAGUGCUCAAAGCAGGUAUAUGCCUGUAUAUAUUAGCAUGGAAUAAUGGAAUAGGACUCUCGUUCAUUUUGUUGGUUAUUGAACAAGAGUAAUGAUUAAUAGGGACAGUUGGGGGCAUUUGUAUUUAAUUGUCAGAGGUGAAAUUCUUGGAUUUAUUAAAGACAAACUUAUGCGAAAGCAUUUGCCAAGGAUGUUUUCA
rnacentral:rRNA from 1 species